CCUCUAUGUCGAUGUCGUCGAUCAUCCAUGGCCACCAGCUUGAGGUUACUGUCGUAGGAUGCAACAUAUUUUCUGGAUCGUAUUGUGUUUCCGUGAGCCAUCCCUUGUAUGUCUGUUUUCAAUAUGCUGGCGAAGCCUACAUUAAAAUAACAAGUCAAGAAGAUGGCGAAAUGAAUACUAUGCUAGUUCAAACAAGUUCGAAUUUCCACUGAUUGAAGGCCAAAGCGAGCUUAAAUUCGUGGUUUGGAAGAAUAUUAAUACUAAUUUCAUUUGUGAUGAUUUUAUGGGUGGUGGCAGGGUUCAGUUUCAUAAUGUCGUUUCAAAACGUUUUGAACAAUCCUCGUGUCCCUUUCAAAAGGGAAAUAAUAGGUAAUUAAUUAAUUAAACAGAUAUAAUAGAUAUAAUUGAUUUUUUUUAAAUUUUCCUUCGCAGAAAUAUUGCUGGUGAAUUAAAACUUCUAUUGCAGUGUACAAAUGCCCCA